rnacentral:rRNA from 1 species
UACGUAGGGUGCAAGCGUUGUCCGGAAUUAUUGGGCGUAAAGAGCUCGUAGGCGGUCUGUCGCGUCGGCUGUGAAAACUCGGGGCUCAACCCCGAGCCUGCAGUCGAUACGGGCAGACUAGAGUGCUGUAGGGGCAGAGGGAAUUUCCGGUGGAGCGGUGAAAUGCGUAGAGAUCGGAAAGAACACCAACGGCGAAAGCACUCUGCUGGGCCGACACUGACACUGAGAGACGAAAGCUAGGGGAGCGAAUGGG